rnacentral:rRNA from 1 species
AAACUUAAAGGAAUUGACGGGGCCGCACAAGCGGUGGAGCAUGUGGUUUAAUUCGACGCAACGCGAAGAACCUUACCAGGGCUUGACAUCCCCUGACCGCGUAUGAAAGUACGUUUUCACCUCGGGUGACAGGGAGACAGGUGGUGCAUGGUUGUCGUCAGCUCGUGUCGUGAGAUGUUGGGUUAAGUCCCGCAACGAGCGCAACCCUUACGGUUAGUUGCCAGCGGGUUAUGCCGGGCACUCUAGCUGAACUGCCGUUGACAAAACGGAGGAAGGUGGGAUGACGUCAAAUCAUCAUGCCCUUUAUGUCCUGGGCUACACACGUGCUACAAUGGCCUGUACAGAGGGAAGCGAAAGGGUGACCUGGAGCGAAUCCCAAAAAGCAGGUCUCAGUUCGGAUUGCAGGCUGCAACCCGCCUGCAUGAAGUCGGAAUCGCUAGUAAUCGCGGAUCAGCAUGCCGCGGUGAAUACGUUCCCGGGCCUU